GAUCAUUAAAGAAAUUUAAUAAUUUUGAAAAUGGAUUUUUUUGUUUUGGCAAGAGCAUGAGAGCUUUUACUGGGCAAGAAGACAAGAGAUGGAGAGUCCAGCCGGGCCUGCGCUUAAGUGCGCGGUCUUGCUAGGCUUGUAAGUUUCUUUCUUGCUAUUCCAAACGGUGAGAGAUUUCUGUGCUUUUGUUAUAGGACAAUUAAAACCGUUUCAAUACAACACACUGUGGAGUUUUCAUAUCUUUGCAACUUUUUCUUUGGGCAUUCGAGCAAUCGGGGCCCAGAGGUAACAAACACAAACAAUUUUAUYUAUUCAUUAAAUUUUUGUCAAAAACAAGAAUUUUCGUAACUGGAAAUUUUAAAAUAUUAAAAACUUUCAACAACGGAUCUCUUGGUUCUCGCAUCGAUGAAGAACGCAGCGAAAUGCGAUACGUAAUGUGAAUUGCAGAAUUCCGUGAAUCAUCGAAUCUUUGAACGCACAUUGCGCCCCUUGGUAUUCCAGGGGGCAUGCCUGUUUGAGCGUCAUUUCCUUCUCAAACAUUCUGUUUGGUAGUGAGUGAUACUCUUUGGAGUUAACUUGAAAUUGCUGGCCUUUUCAUUGGAUGUUUUUUUUCCAAAGAGAGGUUUCUCUGCGUGCUUGAGGUAUAAUGCAAGUACGGUCGUUUUAGGUUUUACCAACUGCGGCUAAUCUUUUUUUAUACUGAGCGUAUUGGAACGUUAUCGAUAAGAAGAGAGCGUCUAGGCGAACAAUGUUCU
rnacentral:misc_RNA from 1 species